UGUGAGACCCGCCUUUCGAUGAAGACCUCCGCAUUUAGGAGAUGCAGCUGCUAGUUUAUAUCAACGUAGGAAUAAAGGCUGACAUCACCGCUAUCUAAGAAGUACAAUCAACGGGACAAGGACGGAAAUCGCAUUGUUAUGAAGUAAAGAUUUUGACGCCGAGUGCUGGCGUUCAACCCGGAGGAUUAGCGUCUCGUAUCUUCAAACUCUCUGUAUAUCGCCGCUAUGCAAAAAAUUGGAUUUCGGCAGUGCCAGAAAAAAGCUGAUAGGAUGAAGAAUCUUAAAAUGCAAUGAAGAGAAAACAAAAUGCCUAGCCGGCAACCUUGGGAAUGAGCAGUACACGUGCAGGGUUGUGCAGAUUUCAAGAGCUGAAAGGGAAAUCAAGACGCAUUGGCAAAAAAAAAAGAAAAACACCGAAAUGCCGCCUCAGUAUGAAGAGCUUGACAAGCUGGCCGACAAAGGUAACACAAGUUACGGUGCCUUACGAAAGGUUUCAAGAUCGAGGCAAACUCUUCUAUGAAACAGAUACCGGAUCUCGAUGCUGAAACCCAGAGUAUAACCAGUUUAUGGAGAGAACACUAUUCCGAUCUGCUAAAUGGCGGUGAAAAUGGAACAGACGCAGAUUGUAAACCCGAAAAUCUAAUCGAUCACUAUGGAAAAGACAUUACAUUACCCUACUAGGACGAAUAGCGAUUGCUCGUCUUACGAACAACAAAGUGGCUAUAGCUGACGGUCUACACCACAUACCGUGGGAUAAGCCUCCUUAAUAUCGCAUAUAAAGUCCUGUCGAGGGUAUUGUGUGAAACACUAAAGCCAACCGUCAACAAAAUGACUGCAUCCGAGGUAUCAGAUAGAUUUACUCUUCAUGGACGAGACCUUAACAACCGCACCGUGAGUUAAGCUUUCUCCACACUUGAUAUAGAAGCGAAGCGAAUAGCUCUGGUAGUGAACAAAUACCAGACAAAAUAUCUCAUGUCAUAAAACAAAUAGUCUUCGCAUUCGCGACUUGGCUCCCACGUCCAUAAAUGGACCAGCAUUAAUAACAAUUCGUGCGAAUGAAAGAAAGCAUUCAACCUUUGAAGGUAUUCUACGAAGUAAUUGUUGAUGAAAAGAAAGAUGAAAGCCAAACAAAAAAAGAUCGGAUGAAUGGCCUGCGAUUGUUGGUUCGGCUAUAAUAACUUUGCUUACGUCAAUAAAGAAGAAGAAAAUGUUUUAAUAGAUAUA